GACGAACCGUGCGAACGUUAUUCGGAAUCACUGGGCUUAAAGCGCGUGUAGGCGGGGCGGCACGUCGGUCGCUGAAAGCCCCCGGCUCAACCGGGGAACGGGCGCCGAUACGACCGCCCUCGAGGGACGUAGGGGGACCUGGAACUUCCGGUGGAGCGGUGAAAUGCGUUGAGAUCGGAAGGAACGCCCGUGGCGAAAGCGAGGUCCUGGACGUCUGCUGACGCUGAGACGCGAAAGCCAGGGAGCGAACGGG
rnacentral:rRNA from 1 species